rnacentral:lncRNA from 1 species
UUGGGGAAGAAGUACAUAAUAAACAAAAGAGCCUCCCCUGGGCAAUGGAUGGAUACACGUGAGAUGUCCAAGGUCAAUGGCAGUGACUGACCUUGACCAUGAUGAUGGCGCACAGAGGCUGUGAAGUCAGAAGCGUUUGGAGUCCUGCGGUUUCCACGUGGGCCAGCUGUGCUUGGGCAAUUCCGGUCAAGCCAGAUGCCAAAACCCAUUGCAGACACAGGAAGAGCCUCAUCGUCAAGUCUCCAAACAAGCAGUCGAAAAUCAAAAGAGAAGAUCUCAUAAACUACAAAUCAGGAUUGCCUUUGUCUUCAGAAUCAGUGAUGUCUGUACUCACGGGUUAGUUCUACUCCAUUUUCAGGGGCAUCUCUGUAUCAUUGCCCCCGAAAUGUAGAACUCAUCUUUGACCACAGUGAGAUGCUUCCCCAAACUUCCAGAUGCUGCAAUGAAUGGUAAGGCCAGAUGAAAGAGAAUCAGAUUUGUAUUCUGUUGAUAGAUACCCAGUGCAGGGCAUGGGGUGGGGGCCAGGCCUGUGAAAAAGAAUUCAGCUUCCUCAUUUCGUGGCAUUUAUUUGCUCAUUAUUGAAACUAACGAAACUGCCCAGGAGCCUUUUGGUUUUGCCUUUCUUUAGUGUGCCUUCUUUUCUAAAAACUGUCUCUUAUAAUCACUUCAUGUUACGCUGGAAGGUCCAUACCGAUUUUCGCUGAGAAUCACAGAAAUUUUCUUUUCAUAUUAAAAAAAAUUAAAUGAAAGGUUUAUACUUUUAUAGUUCUUUAUACUUUUCAAAAGCUUCACACACAUGAUUUCAUAUACUCUCCUGUAUGAUUUCAUAUACCCCCAUAUUGCCCUCCCCCCCACCCCGACCCCCUGCUGGUAACCUCUAGUUUGUUCUUUGUGAGUCUGUUUCUUUUUUGUUUUAGUCACCAGUUUCUUGUAUUUUUGAGAUUCCACAUAGAAGUGAUAUCAUACAGAAUUUAUCUCUCUCUGUCUGACUUAUUUCACUUAGCACAGGGUAGAACCAUAGGCUUUUACAGUUAGCAGACACCUGCCUGGAGUUUCUGGAAGUUUCCAUGUACACCUGGGCAGACUUAUUCGGCUGGCUCUAGGUGCUGCGGUCUCAGGCCACAGCCAUGGGAAGUGGAAGUGGUCUCCAGAUGUUAAGGUCCCCCUGGCCUGGCUCACCUCCCCUCCCUUAGAGAGGGCGUCCUUCACUCUCCAGUGAUACGGAGGCCUUAGGGAAGCUGCUUCCUCAGGGUUCAGAUCGUCUCUGGAAAGGACUCACACCUGAGUCUUGUGUUGCUCAUGAGUCAAAAGCCAGUGACCAACACUCUGCUAUACUCAGCACUUUAAUGACAAGGACUAACUAUGGGGUCAGGUGGCCCCUCUGAGGCACCUGCUCCCCUUAGAAUGAGUUCUUUCCCAAGAGGUUCCUUUGUUCUUCAAGCAAAUCCACAUCCUCUAGGCCGCCUUCCCACAACCCCCCGCUGCCCCCACCCCGUGUACGAUUUAUGUCUAUAAUUGAAUCCAAGAUGCACCCCAGAUCUGUACUCUUUGCCAUGUAGAAAUAUCAUCAAUUUGGAGUUCCUGUUGUGGCACAGCGAAAACGAAUCUGACUAGGAACCAUGAGGUUUCAGGUUCCAUCCCUGGCCUCAAUCACUAGUGGGUUAAGGAUCCAGCAUUGCCAUGAGCUGUGGUGUAGGUUGCAGACAUGACUCGGAUCCUGCGUUGUGUGGCUGUUGUGUAGGCUGGCAGUUGUAGCUCCAAUUUGACCCCUAGCCCGGGAACCUAAAAGGCAACCUGUGGCCCUAAAAACCAAAAAAGAAAAAAAAAAAAAAAAAAAAAAG